rnacentral:rRNA from 1 species
GUCCAGACUCCUACGGGAGGCAGCAGUAGGGAAUCUUCGGCAAUGGGCGAAAGCCUGACCGAGCAACGCCGCGUGAAUGAAGAAGGCCUUCGGGUUGUAAAAUUCUGUUAUAAGGGAAGAAAGGUGAUAGGAGGAAAUGACUAUCAAUUGACGGUACCUUAUGAGAAAGCCACGGCUAACUACGUGCCAGCAGCCGCGGUAAUACGGAGGGUGCGAGCGUUAAUCGGAAUUACUGGGCGUAAAGCGCUCGUAGGCGGUAUGUCAAGUCAAGGGUGAAAUCCCCGCGCUCAACGUGGGAACUGCCUUUGAAACUGGCAAACUGGAGUGUGUGAGAGGAUAGUGGAAUUCCAGGUGUAGGAGUGAAAUCCGUAGAUAUCUGGAGGAACAUCAGUGGCGAAGGCGACGAUCUGGCACAUAACUGACGCUGAGGAGCGAAAGCGUGGGUAGCAAACAGGAUUAGAUACCCCUGUACUA